rnacentral:rRNA from 1 species
AUGGCAGAUGAUGUUCUUCGGAAGUUCACAAAUGAUAAUGGUGAUUUCAACCAUGGGCUCACCAAAGACAUUAGAGGGAUGUUGAGCUUGCAAGACAUGUCAUACCUCAACAUGGGAGAAUCAUCACUGUACAAGGCAAAUGAAUUCUCAGCCAAGCACCUUAGACUUGCAAUUAAGUAUUUGGAGCCAAGCCUUGCAAGAUAUGUGAGGCGGUCACUAGACCAUCCCUAUCAUGUGAGCCUGAUGCAGUACAAGGCAAGGCACCAUCUGAGUUACCUCCAGAACUUGCCCACUAGGAACACAUCAAUUGAGAAUCUGGCACUUGCAGAGUUUCAGAUUAAGAAGUUGCAGCAUCAGAGAGAAAUUAAAGAGGUUAAGAGGUGGGAUCCUGCUGCUGCUGUUGAUUCACUCCCGAGCUACAUGAUAUCAUGUUACAAGGCUCUUUACACUGUCACAAAUGAUAUAGCCGCUAUGGUUAGAAAAGAGCAUGGACUGAACCCUAUCACUCAUAUCAAGCAAGCUUGGGCAGCUUUCUUUGAUGGAUUCAUGAUCGAGGGAAAAUGGUUAUAUACUAAUCAGGCCCCUACAUCAGAGGACUACCUAAGAAACGGUAUCGUCACUUCAGGAGCACCACUAGUAUUCCUGCAUCUUUUCUUCUUGCUAGGGCAUGAUUUUACAGAGGGCAACAAUGACCGCAUCCUUCGGAUCAUCUCCUGCACUGCAAAGAUAAUGAGGCUUUGGGACGACAUGGGCAGUGCAAAGGAUGAAUCACAAGCAGGGCUCGACGGAUCUUGCAAGGAGUUGUACCACAGAGAAAAUCCUCAUGGUGACGCGGAGAAGCACAUGCUGAAGAUGAUCGCAAGUGAAUGGCAGGAUCUGAAUAGGGAAUGCUUCUCUGGGACAAACUCAACACUAUCGCAUACCUUCAUCCGGGCGUCACUCAACUUUGCAAGGAUGGUCCGCGUCAUGUAUAGCUAUGACGAUGAGCAGAGGCUCCCCAUCCUUGAGGAUUACACCAGGAUGUUGCUCUUCUGA